rnacentral:rRNA from 1 species
GAUGAACGCUAGCGAUAGGCCUAACACAUGCAAGUCGAGGGGCAGCAUAGAGUAGCAAUACUUUGAUGGCGACCGGCGCACGGGUGAGUAACACGUAUGCAACCUACCUACAUCAGGGGAAUAACCCGGAGAAAUUCGGACUAAUACCGCAUAAUACAGGGAUGCCGCAUGGCAAUAUUUGUUAAAGAUUUAUCGGAUGUAGAUGGGCAUGCGUUCCAUUAGCUAGUUGGUGAGGUAACGGCUCACCAAGGCAACGAUGGAUAGGGGAACUGAGAGGUUUGUCCCCCACACUGGAACUGAGACACGGACCAGACUCCUACGGGAGGCAGCAGUGGGGAAUAUUGGUCAAUGGACGAGAGUCUGAACCAGCCAAAUCGCGUGAAGGAAGACUGCCCUACGGGUUGUAAACUUCUUUUGUGCAGGAAUAAAAGACAUUACGUGUAAUGUAUUGCAUGUACUGUACGAAUAAGCAUCGGCUAACUCCGUGCCAGCAGCCGCGGUAA